rnacentral:misc_RNA from 1 species
GAUGAAGAACGUAGCGAAAUGCGAUAAGUAAUGUGAAUUGCAGAAUUCAGUGAAUCAUCGAGUCUUUGAACGCACAUUGCGCCCCCUGGUAUUCCGGGGGGCAUGCCUGUCCGAGCGUCAUUGCUGCCCUCAAGCACGGCUUGUGUGUUGGGCCCCCGUCCCCGGUUUCCCCCGGGGACGGGCCCGAAAGGCAGCGGCGGCACCGCGUCCGGUCCUCGAGCGUAUGGGGCUUUGUCACCCGCUCUGUAGGCCCGGCCGGCGCCAGCCGACACCCAACUUUAUUUCUAAGGUUGACCUCGGAUCAGGUAGGAAGACCCGCUGAACUUAAGCAUAUCAAUAAGCGGAGGA